rnacentral:rRNA from 1 species
UACGGAGGGGGCUAGCGUUGUUCGGAAUUACUGGGCGUAAAGCGUACGUAGGCGGUGAUUCAAGUCAGAGGUGAAAGCCCGGAGCUCAACUCCGGAAUUGCCUUUGAAACUAGAUCGCUUGAACGUCGGAGAGGUGAGUGGAAUUCCGAGUGUAGAGGUGAAAUUCGUAGAUAUUCGGAAGAACACCAGUGGCGAAGGCGGCUCACUGGACGACUGUUGACGCUGAGGUACGAAAGCGUGGGGAGCAAACAGG